rnacentral:sRNA from 1 species
AACAAUUCAACAUUCAAUCGUCCAUGACUCAUCCGCACGGAAUGGAGAGCAAAAACCACCAAAACAAACAUCACAUAUCCACAUCCUCCAUGUAACCUCCACCGGCGCAUCCUUCUUGAACAGAAAAUCACCAGCCCCAAAUUAAACAGUUCAUGAGUGAAUCACCCCCAAUUGUUGAGCCAAACCAAAGCAGCAGCAGCAGCAGAAGCAUCAUCCGUGGAUGAGCUAGGGAUGAAGAGGGGGAAUCGAGCUACUCACGGUUGAGCUGUAGCUUCUCGGAUGCGACGCCGCCCCACACCAGGGCGCCGAGGCUGCCGUUCCCGAUGGGCGCCGCGUCCGUGAAGUACCUCGACGGCGACGCAAACACCACCUCCAGCGGCCGCGCCUCCUCCUCCGCCGUCGGCCACCCCGCCGCCGCCGCCACGGCCUCCGCCUCCGCCGGCCGCCGCACCCACACCCACUCGCCGUCGCCGUCCAUCGGGAACGAGCCGAGCCGAGCCGACUAGCCGACGAGCCCCCGCAGCCUGUAGCGGCGGAGCAAACGGCCACAAGUUAU